rnacentral:rRNA from 1 species
GAUGAACGCUGGCGGCGUGCCUAAUACAUGCAAGUCGAGCGAACAGACGAGGAGCUUGCUCCUCUGACGUUAGCGGCGGACGGGUGAGUAACACGUGGAUAACCUACCUAUAAGACUGGGAUAACUUCGGGAAACCGGAGCUAAUACCGGAUAAUAUAUUGAACCGCAUGGUUCAAUAGUGAAAGACGGUUUUGCUGUCACUUAUAGAUGGAUCCGCGCCGCAUUAGCUAGUUGGUAAGGUAACGGCUUACCAAGGCAACGAUGCGUAGCCGACUUGAGAGGGUGAUCGGCCACACUGGAACUGAGACACGGUCCAGACUCCUACGGGAGGCAGCAGUAGGGAAUCUUCCGCAAUGGGCGAAAGCUUGACGGAGCAACGCCGCGUGAGUGAUGAAGGUCUUCGGAUCGUAAAACUCUGUUAUUAGGGAAGAACAAAUGUGUAAGUAACUAUGCACGUCUUGACGGUACCUAAUCAGAAAGCCACGGCUAACUACGUG